rnacentral:lncRNA from 1 species
AGCAAUUGUUUACGUGACAAUACAGAGUUCCAACAAUCUAGUCUGAUUUGAGAAAACAAAGCUAAUAUCAAUCACAAGAAUAUCUAGAAAGCGCUAUAAGCACCUUUAAAAAAUGAGUAACAUGACUUCAAACAAAAUGCACUUCUACUGAUUUUAAUCUCAAACACUACACCGAUCCAAGGCAACUAUCCGGGCCCAAGCAAUUCCUGCUAAAAAACUUCAAUCUCAACUGCCAAACCUGCAUAGAAUCAAAACACAUACAAAAUUGUAAUAAGUUAUAAAAGAAAGCUUCCAAACUAAUCCAGAGUAAUAACAUCCGUGGAAACGCCACUACUAUAUUAUGGAAAUAGGUAAAUGUGUGUAACACACGUGAAAACAACAGACUAGUUACAAGUUCAAAAAAAUUAGUCCGAAGAAAAGUGUGCCAAAUGAAAGUAUAAUCUAAGUUAGGCUACAAGUGACAAGUAACAAGCACACAUCACAAAGCUAAAAGUACAGUAGCAGUAGCAGUUGGUCCAGUAAUCGGUUCUGGACCGAACAGACAAUAUGUGCAUGGGGCUAACCAGGCUGGGAGUUGUCUCUUUUCUGGCCUAGUGAACAAAGAUGAGACAUGUACUUAGUUUUUUUUCUGAGAGGAAGCAUUGCCCCUGUACAUGUAUUUAGUUUAUCUUGAUCAACCGUUUCUGUACUAUAAAAGAAAUGAGAAAAAAAAGUGACAUGCACUUAGGUUUUUUUGUGAGAGGAAGAUGUGCGCACAUGUAAGUACUUGGAUUUCCUGGAUCAAAAUUUUCUGUAUAAGCGAGCAGCUGAAAAUUAUGUAAAAAAAUCCGCCAGCAUAGACACUGUACCACACCAUUCCUUAGCAAACAAAAAUGACAGUAAAGAAGUGACAGACUAACUUCAAGAUAAUUAACACAAACUGGGCAUAAAAAUAGGCCAAGUUCAAAUCAAAAUAUGUUAUGUUGUGGACUAUACUAGCUCAAUAUUUAAAUCAAAAUCAGCACCUAAGGAUUUUUCAUCUAACUUGAUGCUUAUGCUGCAAGUUCAUCUCAAAGUGCCAACAAAUAUAGUACUAAACAAUACUUGCUUGCCAAGUGAAGUUCAAAUGGCAUGCAAAACAUUAACAAAGAACAUGAUACAAUUUCAUUGAGAGAUCUCCCACACUAAUAGUUUAUUUGUGGGGUACUAAACUAUGUACUUUUAUUUCAUGAAAAAAUUAAAAUCUGCACUGUAGUAAAUUAUUAAACAAGAAAACACUUGAUAAACGGUAAACUAAUAGUUAGGAAAGUCUAGUAGAGUAUGGAUACAAUGCAUGAUCUCAGGGACAUUGUCCAAUGCAGAUUUUAGGCACACAGAAAUAUCUGUACAAUUAUAACUACUAGAACCACACAACAGUCCACACCUUGAACAACUCACAACAGUCCGCACCUUGAACAGCUCAAAAUCUACAGCCUGAAUAAUUCACAUCAAGAAUGGAAGGGUAUCAAGCUCACCCUAUUCUGCUCAAGGACGGUGUCGUCGGCAUCGAUUAUGUGGGAGAUGUACUGACUAUAAUGUGCAAAGCAAAGAUAUUAGUGUGACAAUUGGAUAUGUGGUUUCAUUCAUUAUUACUGAAAUGCAAAUGUUGUCUCAACUGAACCGAAUUCUUACAGAACUAUGCCUUCCCAAAUGUCUAAAUUUACUAACUGAAUUCUUAAAGAAUUGAUUCAAUUGCAUACUAACUGAACUAAGGAACAAUGUACAAUGGGUAGCCGCACAUUAUUUUCCAUCUUUGCAUUGGUGAGACUAAAACACAUAUAUCAGACACCAAAUUACUAGUCCUUAAAAUGUGCCAACUAAAAUGAAAUACCUUUUGAUGUGAUAUACACUAUAAACCUCUACAUGUCCAGCAGGCAGUAGCUAAACUGAACAUUUGCUGCCACUGACAGCACAUGCUUUUGACCCUAAACACACAUGAAGGUAUCAAGGAGGUUAAUUGAACAUGGUAAAACUGAAAUAUUUAACAUUUGUUGAUUUUAUAUCGAUUCAUUUAAUACAUUGAGGAACCUAAACAGAUAAAACAACC